rnacentral:rRNA from 1 species
UACGGAGGGUGCAAGCGUUAUCCGGAUUCACUGGGUUUAAAGGGUGCGUAGGUGGGCAAGUAAGUCCGUGGUGAAAUCUCUGAGCUUAACUCAGAAACUGCCGUGGAUACUAUUUGUCUUGAAUAUUGUGGAGGUGAGCGGAAUAUGUCAUGUAGCGGUGAAAUGCUUAGAUAUGACAUAGAACACCAAUUGCGAAGGCAGCUCACUACACAAUUAUUGACGCUGAGGCACGAAAGCGUGGGGAUCAAACAGG